GUUAACUGUUUAGAAUAUAAUGAUGCUUAAAACCCAAAAAGGUUGCAAGGUAGUGACUAAUCCCAACUAAAGUUGUGAUACCUCUAAAACAUAAAUUACGAGUUGGUGAAAGAUGGAUGCUUUGGAUCGUUAGAUCCGGAUCCAAUACCUUCUUAUUAAAAUUGUAUGGAGGCGAAAUGUUCGAAUCUUUAUUCUUUUGGAAAGAAGAAAGAAUCACAAAGUUGUUGAGGUUAAUUCACUUAGAUGUUAGUGGCACUUGUUCACAACAUAAUACUGCUCAUGUUGGAUGACAUUCACCGAAGAUCACUCUCGGUUGGACUAUAGUUUAUUUUGAAUAAACACAAGUCCGAAUACUUUGCAAAAUGUUUCAAAGAAUUCAAGUAAUGUAAGUUGAUGAGUAAGACGUCUAAAGUAAUUACCUCCUUAGAUUUGAUCCAAGAUAAGGUAACACUUUAGAACAGUUUCCUUGAAAGAUAUCAAGGAAAUAAGCAUCAUAAGAUAAUAGAUUUCUCCAUAAGGAGAAGAACGAACUUAAAUAAGAUUCAGUUCGUUGGAUAUAUCAAUUACCCAUAUAUAGGAUAUAUACUUCUAAGACAAUAUGAUUGUCAAUUAGAAGAUCUUCCAAAAUUUUCAUGACUCCAUAAGAUGUAGUUGGAAAGAAAGACAAAUCUUAAAACAUGUUAAGAUUUGGGGUUGUGUGCUAAUAAGCAAUAUUUGUUUGAUAACAAUCUUGUGGGAUAUCCUUAAAUUAACUUUUGGAUAUCACUUCUAUAAACCAACUAACAAAUGUUGUUUUGUUGGGUAGUUCAUUAUAAU
rnacentral:lncRNA from 1 species